CCUUCACAAACUCAUAGCCCUUCUCCAGAGUCACUCCCCAAACACAGCCACCUUCCUCAAAAAUCCUGCCUGUAUUAACCCCAGUCAGCCUCAGGGGCUCUGGACACAUCCCCUCAUCAGCAUUUCCACAGCCAAAUUCCCCCUUGUCCUUCUUUUCUGGACACCAACCUGAGGGACAGUUUGCAAAAUUAUCUGAAUGCCAGCAGCCUGGUGGCAGGGAGCAGCCUCUCUGCUCUUCCUGGGGUGACUGCCACGUCUGUGUGACCCCUUCAGAGGGAAUAAAUCCUCACCACGGCUCGCCCCGAGGCCUCCCUGGGAUCCUGGACCAUCCUGUUCCUGUCCUUGGCAAGAGCAGGGACCGAGCUGCCUGCUGA
rnacentral:lncRNA from 1 species